GACGAACGCUGGCGGCGUGCUUAACACAUGCAAGUCGAACGGAAAGGCCCUGCUUUUGUGGGGUGCUCGAGUGGCGAACGGGUGAGUAACACGUGAGUAACCUGCCCUUGACUUUGGGAUAACUUCAGGAAACUGGGGCUAAUACCGGAUAGGAGCUCCUGCUGCAUGGUGGGGGUUGGAAAGUUUCGGCGGUUGGGGAUGGACUCGCGGCUUAUCAGCUUGUUGGUGGGGUAGUGGCUUACCAAGGCUUUGACGGGUAGCCGGCCUGAGAGGGUGACCGGCCACAUUGGGACUGAGAUAAGGCCCAGACUCCUACGGGAGGCAGCAGUGGGGAAUAUUGCACAAUGGGCGGAAGACUGAUGCAGCAACGCCGCGUGCGGGAUGACGGCCUUCGGGUUGUAAACCGCUUUCGCCUGUGACGAAGCGUGAGUGAAGGUAAUGGGUAAAGAAGCACCGGCUAACUACGUG
rnacentral:rRNA from 1 species